ACAGUUCAACAUGAUGGACUAUAGGACAGGACUGCUGCUGUUAACUAUCUGCUGGGCAGGUGUUUCCAGUCAGACUCUGACUGAGUCUGAACCGGUGGUAAAGCGUCCUGGAGAAUCCCACAAACUGACCUGUACAUAUGCAGGAAUAUCAGAUAACAAUGCUGCUAUCGGCUGGAUCAGACAAGCUGAAGGAAAAGGACUGGAAUGGGUUGCCUACAUUUCUGCUCCGUGUGGAGGCACUAAAGCUUAUUCCACGUCAGUCCAGAAUCGCUUCACCAUCUCCAGAGACAACAACGUGGACCAGGUGUCUCUGCAGAUGAACAGUCUGACGACUGAAGACUCUGCUGUUUAUUAUUGUGCUCGAGAGCCACAGUGA